AUUGAACGCUGGCGGCAGGCCUAACACAUGCAAGUCGAGCGGCAGCGGGAAAGUAGCUUGCUACUUUUACCGGCGAGCGGCGGACGGGUGAGUAAUGCCUGGGAAAUUGCCCAGUCGAGGGGGAUAACAGUUGGAAACGACUGCUAAUACCGCAUACGCCCUACGGGGGAAAGCAGGGGACCUUCGGGCCUUGCGCGAUUGGAUAUGCCCAGGUGGGAUUAGCUAGUUGGUGAGGUAAUGGCUCACCAAGGCGACGAUCCCUAGCUGGUCUGAGAGGAUGAACAGCCACACUGGAACUGAGACACGGUCCAGACUCCUACGGGAGGCAGCAGUGGGGAAUAUUGCACAAUGGGGGAAACCCUGAUGCAGCCAUGCCGCGUGUGUGAAGAAGGCCUUCGGGUUGUAAAGCACUUUCAGCGAGGAGGAAAGGUUGAUGCCUAAUACGUAUCAACUGUGACGUUACUCGCAGAAGAAGCACCGGCUAACUCCGUGCCAGCCGCCGCAGUAA
rnacentral:rRNA from 1 species